rnacentral:rRNA from 1 species
AACGAACGCUGGCGGCAGGCCUAACACAUGCAAGUCGAACGCCCUAGCAAUAGGGAGUGGCAGACGGGUGAGUAACGCGUGGGAACGUGCCUUUCGGUUCGGAAUAACUCAGGGAAACUUGGGCUAAUACCGGAUACGCCCUUCGGGGGAAAGAUUUAUUGCCGAAAGAUCGGCCCGCGUCCGAUUAGCUAGUUGGUGAGGUAAAGGCUCACCAAGGCGACGAUCGGUAGCUGGUCUGAGAGGAUGAUCAGCCACACUGGGACUGAGACACGGCCCAGACUCCUACGGGAGGCAGCAGUGGGGAAUAUUGGACAAUGGGCGCAAGCCUGAUCCAGCCAUGCCGCGUGAGUGAUGAAGGCCCUAGGGUUGUAAAGCUCUUCCGCCAGGGACGAUAAUGACGGUACCUGGAUAAGAAGCCCCGGCUAACUUCGUGCCAGCCGCCGCAGUAA